AUGAUACUAGUGCAUAUGGUUGACUACACAUUUGGUAGUGAGAGAGCUUCUAAGCAGUGAAUGCAAGAUGUUAAAUGGCUCUUCUUGCCAGAAAAGAAGCACCCACUCCCCUCUGAAGACAGACUUUGCCUUGUCAAUACAUUUUAAAAUACAUUUCUCAAACAGGCAUUAUACCUAGGACCAAAACUGCAGAAACCUACUGGAAACUACCAGGUGACUCAGCAGUAAAGAAUCUCCCUGCUAAGGCAGGAGAAACAGGUUGGAUCCUUGAGUUGGGAAGAUGCCCUGGAGGAGGUCAUGGAAACCCACUCCAGUAUUCUUGCCUGGAGAAUCCCAUGGAUAGAGGAGCCUGAUGGGUCACAGUCCACAGGGUUGCAAAGAGUCGGACAUGACCGAGUGACUACACCACCACCAGGAGCACCACUUGUGAAGCCUGUUUUCUGUCCUUUUGCUGCCUGUCUGCCUCUGCCUACCUACCUGCCAUUCAGCCUUCCUAUCUUAGUCUCAACUCAUCUGCCUUUCUUAUCUGCUUUGUUUCCAAAAGGAUAUUAGUGAUUUGCUGGAAUAUUUAACAUGUAGCAAUAUAUUCCCCAAAAGAGAGCAAGAAUAAAAGUAUUGAACCUAGCAUUAAAUGAAAACUAAAUAAUGUAAAUACACUGCUAUACUGGUGGUCACAAAUUUAAGCUUUCAAGUGGCCAGUAUGUAAAAGGACAUGUAAUCAUCUACACAUCGUGCAGUGUCUAUAGUAUGAGACAGCAAUUAAUUUCUCAAGAGAAAACUACAGGUGCUUUGCUAUUAGAGGAAUUCCUCCUGAGGAUUCUCAUAAAGAGGAUACUAUUACUAUAUGAUGUAUUUAUCAGCACCAUCCCUAAAAUGCAUGAAGAUCAAGUUUCAUAAGAAUUUUACAAAUAUCUUUAUAGUUUGUGAUUACAGCAUGUGAUUAUAGUAUGUGAUUACAUGCACCAUUUACUGAUAGCAGUUAUGUCUCCUUCCGUCUAUAUCCAUCCCAAGGAGUGGAUGGGCCUCAAGCAGUG
ensembl:lncRNA